rnacentral:rRNA from 1 species
CAAUAGCGUAUAUUAAAGUUGUUGCAGUUAAAAAGCUCGUAGUUGAACUUUGGGCCCGGCAGGCCGGUCCGCUUUUUGGCGAGUACUGACCCUGCCGGGCCUUUCCUUCUGGCUAACCUCCCCUCUGGAGAGGCGAACCAGGACUUUUACUUUGAAAAAAUUAGAGUGUUCAAAGCAGGCCUUUGCUCGAAUAUAUUAGCAUGGAAUAAUAGAAUAGGACGUUUGGUUCUAUUUUGUUGGUUUCUAGGACCAUCGUAAUGAUUAAUAGGGACGGUCGGGGGCAUCAGUAUUCAGUUGUCAGAGGUGAAAUUCUUGGAUUUACUGAAGACUAACUACUGCGAAAGCAUUUGCCAAGGACGUUUUCAUUAA